rnacentral:rRNA from 1 species
UGAGUGAUGAAGGGUUUCGGCUCGUAAAACUCUGUUGUUGGAGAAGAACAGGUGAUAGAGUAACUGUUAUCAUCUUGACGGUAUCCAACCAGAAAGCCACGGCUAACUACGUGCCAGCAGCCGCGGUAAUACGUAGGUGGCAAGCGUUGUCCGGAUUUAUUGGGCGUAAAGCGAGCGCAGGCGGUUUUUUAGGUCUGAUGUGAAAGCCUUCGGCUUAACCGGAGAAGGGCAUCGGAAACCGGGAGACUUGAGUGCAGAAGAGGACAGUGGAACUCCAUGUGUAGCGGUGAAAUGCGUAGAUAUAUGGAAGAACACCAGUGGCGAAGGCGGCUGUCUGGUCUGUAACUGACGCUGAGGCUCGAAAGCAUGGGUAGCGAACAGGAUUAGAUACCCUGGUAGUCCAUGCCGUAAACGAUGAGUGCUAAGUGUUGGAGGGUUUCCGCCCUUCAGUGCUGCAGCUAACGCAUUAAGCACUCCGCCUGGGGAGUACGACCGCAAGGUUGAAACUCAAAGGAAUUGACGGGGGCCCGCACAAGCGGUGGAGCAUGUGGUUUAAUUCGAUGCUACGCGAAGAACCUUACCAGGUCUUGACAUCUUCUGCUAACCUAAGAGAUUAGGCGUUCCCUUCGGGGACGGAAUGACAGGUGGUGCAUGGUUGUCGUCAGCUCGUGUCGUGAGAUGUU